rnacentral:rRNA from 1 species
GACGAACGCUGGCGGCGUGCUUAACACAUGCAAGUCGAACGGAAAGGCCCUGCUUUUGUGGGGUGCUCGAGUGGCGAACGGGUGAGUAACACGUGAGUAACCUGCCCUUGACUUUGGGAUAACUUCAGGAAACUGGGGCUAAUACCGGAUAGGAGCUCCUGCUGCAUGGUGGGGGUUGGAAAGUUUCGGCGGGUGGGGAUGGACUCGCGGCUUAUCAGCUUGUUGGUGGGGUAGUGGCUUACCAAGGCUUUGACGGGUAGCCGGCCUGGGAGGGUGACCGGCCACAUUGGGACUGAGAUGCGGCCCAGACUCCUACGGGAGGCAGCAGUGGGGAAUAUUGCACAAUGGGCGGAAGCCUGAUGCAGCAACGCCGCGUGCGGGAUGACGGCCUUCGGGUUGUAAACCGCUUUCGCCUGUGACGAAGCGUGAGUGACGGUAAUGGGUAAAGAAGCACCGGCUAACUACGUG